CUUGCUUCUCUUGAGAGCGGCGGACGGGUGAGUAAUGCCUAGGAAUCUGCCUGGUAGUGGGGGAUAACGUCCGGAAACGGACGCUAAUACCGCAUACGUCCUACGGGAGAAAGCAGGGGACCUUCGGGCCUUGCGCUAUCAGAUGAGCCUAGGUCGGAUUAGCUAGUUGGUGGGGUAAUGGCUCACCAAGGCGACGAUCCGUAACUGGUCUGAGAGGAUGAUCAGUCACACUGGAACUGAGACACGGUCCAGACUCCUACGGGAGGCAGCAGUGGGGAAUAUUGGACAAUGGGCGAAAGCCUGAUCCAGCCAUGCCGCGUGUGUGAAGAAGGUCUUCGGAUUGUAAAGCACUUUAAGUUGGGAGGAAGGGCAGUAAAUUAAUACUUUGCUGUUUUGACGUUACCGACAGAAUAAGCACCGGCUAACUCUGUGCCAGCAGCCGCGGUAAUACAGAGGGUGCAAGCGUUAAUCGGAAUUACUGGGCGUAAAGCGCGCGUAGGUGGUUCGUUAAGUUGGAUGUGAAAUCCCCGGGCUCAACCUGGGAACUGCAUUCAAAACUGACGAGCUAGAGUAUGGUAGAGGGUGGUGGAAUUUUCCUGUGUAGCGGUGAAAUG
rnacentral:rRNA from 1 species